rnacentral:rRNA from 1 species
UACAGAGGGGGCGAGCGUUAUUCGGAAUUAUUGGGCGUAAAGGGCGCGUAGGCGGCCUUUCAAGUGACGGGUGAAAUCCCUCGGCUUAACCGAGGAACUGCCUGUCAGACUGGAAGGCUUGAGACCGGGAGAGGUGAGUGGAAUUCCCAGUGUAGCGGUGAAAUGCGUAGAUAUUGGGAGGAACACCAGUGGCGAAGGCGGCUCACUGGACCGGUACUGACGCUGAGACGCGAAAGCGUGGGGAGCGAACCGG